rnacentral:rRNA from 1 species
GAUCCUUACUCAGGAUGAACGCUGGCGGCGUGCUUAACACAUGCAAGUCGAACGAAGCACUUAAGAUUGAUUCUUCGGAUGACGUCUUUUGUGACUUAGUGGCGGACGGGUGAGUAACGCGUGGGUAACCUGCCUCACACAGGGGGAUAACAGUUAGAAAUGACUGCUAAUACCGCAUAACCCGAUAGGAUCGCAUGAUCCAGACGGAAAAGAUUUAUCGGUGUGAGAUGGACCCGCGU